rnacentral:sRNA from 1 species
GUACACACUUAUCAACUCCCCCGAACUUAGUCUUUGCUUGCCCUCAAGCAAACAAUUAAGAACAAGCUGGAGGUGAGGUUUGAAAGCGGGGACUCAGAGCCAAAGGGCCAGAUAAACCAGAUGAAAUCAAUGUCAAGUUGAAAGUUCUAAGCUGCAAGAUCGAAUUCUACUUAAAAACGUUAGCCAUGCCUCAUCAUCAAUCAAUCCGACUCAUAUGCUCGACCUACACAAGUUUUCAAAUCUACCAAUCCCUUUAAGAUUCAUUAGUUCUGGAACGUGAAUCAAGCAAUGCAUCAUCAAAGAACUCAUUUGGCUAAGGUAAAAGGGUAAGAGACAAAGAUGGUCCCUUACAGAAUAGGCUUCAGUAACAGGGGAUCUCUCAAAAAAUGAUUAAGCUUUAGUAGAAUGCUAAAGGUAAGUCCCAAGCUAUGCAUACAAAGAUAAGAUCCCAUCCACCCAGAGUACAUGAAAUGAAGCUCUAAUGGUAAUCCCAUA